GAUUAUUCAAUGAACAACGCCUUAAUAAGAAAAUAGAAAACAAAAUGUUCUUAUAAGAAAAGUGAAAUCAAGUAAACAAUUUGUUAAUCUCAUAUUAAUACAUCAGUUAUAAUAAAUAAAAUCAUCACUCCCACCGAGCACAUCAAACCCCAUCUAUCAUCCAUAAAUCAUUUAUAAUAUAUAAAAAAUAGCCAGAAAUCACAAUACAAAAAUACCAAAAAUGCUUAAAUCUUGAAUCUCGUCUCAAUAUGUUGUUUUUCCUAUAUUCUCAAUGUGAUGUUUUGCCAAUAUUCCCAAGUGUUUGCUAAUCUCCAAUAUGCUCCUACCUUUAAUAUACCAAUUAAUUAUAAGUAGAAUUGAGCUAACUACAAAAACGCAAAUCAUCAACAACUAAAAAGGAGUUUCAUCAUUGUGUCUUCUUGCGUCAACCCAUCCAAAGAGCUUUAUUAAUCAGAAAAUAUUCGUUAUAAAGAGGAUUAUAGAAUACAUAUUUUAAUUAGCACAAAAUCUAAUAAGAGCACAAAGCAUUCAACUGGAGAUAUGGAAAUUCGCACUACACAAAACACAAACCCUAGCCCUAAAUAACCAUCUCAAGCCAAAUUGAUUUGUGCAAAAACACAAAACUAAUAAACGAAAGCCAUCCGACUGCAAUAUUUAAUUUUAAUAAAAGAUUAGAUGAUUUCAGAGAAGAAAGAAAACUGAUUUCACAUAUGGAGAAUAUGAGCUUACCCGCUGGAGAAAGAAGGUGUUGGGUGGCGGUGCUCAUGUUUGGUGGCCGGAGAUAAUCGCUGGUGUGGUAACGCUCAAAGACAGAGUGGCGGAGGAAGUCGCUGGAAUGGAGGGAGAUGGAGGAGAGAAGUGUACACGACGUCUGGCUGAGGAAGGGGUUCCAUCGAAGUUGGGCAUCGUUGGAAAGCGGUGAACGGCGACGCGAGUUUGGACGACGGCAACAAAGAAAACAAAGGAUCCAGGUGGGAGGAGAUGUUGAAUGAUCGAGGUGAGAUUCUGAAGGGAGAAAACGUUGGCAAUAGGGAGAAGGGUAGUAAAGGAGAUAAAAGAAAUCUUUGGUCUCGGUCAAAC
rnacentral:lncRNA from 1 species